UUGUUUAGUUGGGGUAUUAGGUUGGUUGUGUAGGUCUGCAUAGUGCGAAAUGUAUAGUAAUUUAGAAUAAGAAUGCAUUGAGAUACCGAUCUGUCAUUACCAUGCCACUCACGACAUAAAACAGGAACAAAUGGGGGUUGUAAUGAGAAGAGUUAUUACCGGUAAUAUCUGGUCCCGUUUAUAAAUGUACCUUCUAACCGUGAUGAUGUGCCAGGCAGGUUGAGGGGGUUGAAUUCAAGUGAUAGACUCAAAAUAAAGCACUAAGGACUGGCUUUCUAAAUUUGGGUUGGAUAAUUUAUCAAAUUGUAUCAUACAAAGCAAGACUACAAAGAGGUGGGUGCACUGCUCGAAUUUAUUGGGUCUGAGGGGUUUUCUCCCCAGAAGGUUAGAGAACUCACUGGAUGAUAGCUUGAGUCAACCAGGAAAGGGUUUUUGUUUUACAAUGUCAUCAUAAUCCUAAUGUUAAAGCAUAUCAAUACAAUACAUGGAUUGCUUGAUGAUACAGUACAAUCAAUUGCAUACAAGGCUCAUAUUCUGUGUCUUGUGUUUAAUACCCAAGGAUGAAAAUCACAUUUAGUUAUAUAGCCCUUCGUACAUCAGCUGAUAUCUCAAAGUGCUGUACAGAAACCCAGCCUAAAACCCCAAACAGCAAGCAAUGCAGGUGUAGAAGCACGGUGGCUAGGAAAAACUCCAAGCAAGUCAGCACCUCAGGAGUAAAUGUCAGUUGGCUUUUUUAGCACGUCAGGGUUCCAUAGUCGCAGGCAGAACAGUUGAAACUGGAGCAGCAGCAAGGCCAGGUGGACUGGGGACAGCAAGGAGUCAUCAUGCCAGGUAGUCCUGACGCAUGGUCCUAGUGCUCAGGUCCUCCGAGAGAGAGAGAAGGAGAGAAUUAGAGAGAGCAUACUUAAAUUCACACAGGACACCGGAUAAGACAGGAGAAGUCCUCCAGAUAUAACAAACUGACCCUAGCCCCCCCCGACACAUUAACUACUGCAGCAUAAAUACUGGAGGCUGAGACAGGAGGGGUCAGGAGACACUGUGGCACCAUCUGAUGAUACCUCGGGACAGGGCCAAACAGGAAGGUUAUAACCCCACCCACUUUGCCAAAGCACAGCCCCCACACCACUAGAGGGGAAAAUCUUCAACUACCAACUUACCAUCCUGAGUCAAGGCCGAGUAUAGCCCACAAAGAUCUCCGCCACGGCACAAACCAAGGGGGGGCGCCAACCCAGACAGGAAGAUCACGUCAGAUCUUCAAAAUGAAGGAGACGGGAAUUGAGACUAGCAUCCCAUGAGCAUAGAAUAGAACAGAUGGAUGGUUCUUUCCCCAGUCUUAGUCGCAUCAAGGAUGGUGUGAAAUGAUUAAACAUGUAUUUUUUCCUCAUUCCCUGUUCAAGUCAAUAUGUUUUUAGGUGUCGUGGACAAUAAGAGUGAUCGUUGUUCCAGAUGAGGGAUUGGUGGAAAUGGACUAAUUCAUUUGAGAAUGUUUUAGUAUGGUUAUAACUGUAGUAGUGGCUAAUGUGUUAUGGUUUAGAUGGAAUGAGUUAUGUGCAAUGUGUGUGUAGCAGGAGGCGAGGUACAUAAAAGGCCUGUGUUUGAGACAGAAUGUUUACAUAAGGGUGUAAGCAGAAGGAAAUGUGACUGUGGGGGCUCAUAAAUUAAGGUUGGGGUGAUAGUUUCUGGGGAUUAUACCACUAUGUAUAUUGUUACAGGAGAUAGCUUGUAGGAGAGGGAGGACAGCUAACUGUGCACAAUAUAGAGACUAUUAGGAUGUUAAAUUGAACGUUACACAUACCCAGAUCAUGGUGAGAGUAGCAGAGAUAGUGUUGGCAUUUCAGACAGUCAAUUUUCAAGAAACCUUUUUGUUAGUUUGGAUCCUCUUCUAAUGUCAUUCAUCUCUUCCCCAUUUCUAACAGCCAGCAAACACUUGACAUAUCUCCCAGAAGAUUGGGACCGAUCUAACCUGAGCACAAGAGAGAGUAUUAUCCACAGGUAGACUGUAGUAGAAUUCAGAAGGUCAUUGGAGAUGUUGGUGGCUAGGAGACCAGGUAUGAGUUGGGAGAUAGGUAGGGAGUAUAUGUGACCUGAAACAGGAGUGCUGUUUGAACGUAAACAAAAAAAAAAAUGUAAUCAAAAUGCGCUUCGACAGAAAUGCCUUCUUGUAUGCCAUCUGUAAAUGCUAAUAAAAUUGUUAAAUUACAAGCCUAGUUGGUUUACCCACAGAAAAAGUGAGCAACCUUCCCGCUAGCAAUGAUUGGCUGAGAUAAUGAGUGGGCUAGACAUGUCGAGAGAUUAGUUUUGAUUGGUCUACCAUAUAGCACGCGUCUGUCUGUUGGAGCUGGUCAGUAUGUUUAGGUAAUCGUGUCAAAGGCGAUUUAAAAAAUAAAAUAAAAAAUAAAUAAAUAUGGAGUCGUAAAACUGCAUAAACCUAAUAUCAAGUUAAAGUGUACUGUUAGCUAGCUAACAUCAGCUGGCUGGCUCGCUAAUUAACAUUACGUUGUGCAUUGGGAUUCAUUGUUUACCUAGCUAUCUAUCUAGCUACAUUUCUUAACAAAAGACUCGUCUUAGUGUGGCAGACCGCAGAAUAACUGAUACAUUUUUGAACGCUCAACACCCGUUGAAUAUGUUUGGUGUCAGUAAAUGUCGGCAACAAAGCGUAAUUCAAUUGUUGACUCCAACACAGUUAGUCACCAACGCUCUGGAUAACAUGAAAAAAGCCUAACCAGCUCUGCUAGCGUGAGUAAAAUGGUCAGAGUGGGGUGUUCUCUCAUUAUGAGUCUGGAAGUAGUUCGCCAAUGUUAGCCAGUUAGCUUGGGUGCUUGACUGUUGUUGUGAGAUCAAAGCUUUCGGAACAACCCUACUCUUAUUGGCCAGAGCGUCCAGUGUGCGCUCUGAACGCGAAACCACAGAUAGGGCGAGUAAUGUUCAGUGAGUCACAUGGAAGGGUCAGUCCUAGAUCUAUCAGUAAACCACGAACAGUAGAAGAGCAGGAGGAAGAUUCCAUGCAGUAGUUAUUUUUCACAGCAAUAGCUGUAGGGACAGUAAUUGAAGAAUACAAUGGUAACAGCAUGGAAUUGGAUUACGGUGCAAAUUAGGGAUUUUGAGGUAUGCGUCAUGGGCAGUGUCAGUAGUAGCAGGGGUUAUUUUAGUAGCAUUGUUGGGAUAUCAUUUGAGGACUCAUGCCACAUGAAGUGGUAACUGGGAGACUGAUGGGAGUAUCGGGUGCUGUUAUUCAGUCACAAAUUAGUGAUCUGGCCAUAAUUGGAGAGUCUGUUGUCAGGAAAUGACCCAUGCAUUGCAGAGCAUGGUCUGAAUUCUGGAGAUUGAGUGUACAUCAAGCAUACCACCCUGCAUACCAUUGCUGGCUUGCUUCUGAAGCUAAGCAGGGUUGGUCCUGGUCAGUCCCUUGAUGGGAGACCAGAUGCUGCUGGAAGUUGUGUUGGAGGGCCAGUAGGAGGCACUCUUUCCUCUGGUCUAAAAAAUAUCUCAAUGCCCCAGGGCAGUGAUUGGGGACACUGCCCUGUGUAGGGUGCUGUCUUUCGGAAGGGGUGUCCUGACUCUGAGGUCUUUAAAGAUCCCAUGGCACUUGUUGUAAGAGUAGGGGUGUUAACCCCAGUGUCCUGGCUAAAUUCCCAAUCUGGCCCUCAAACCAUCACCUAAUAAUCCCCAGUUUACAAUUGGCUCAUUCAUCCCCCUCCUCUCCCCUGUAACUAUUCACCAGGUUGUUGCUGUAAAUGAGAAUGUGUUUUCAGUCAACUUACCUGGUAAAAUAAUGGAAAAAUAGAAACACCAGGUGGGGGUGUUGGGACAGCUUUGGUUUGGUCCACACACAGUACUCCCUGCAGCGGUACAGAUAGUCAUGCAUUCAGGGGUAAGAGACUAUGGCACUCCUCAUGUCUCGUAUAAAUCAUGAUUACCAAUAUUUAGGGUUUAGAAAUCCGAACCCAUCAGUCCAUCCUCUUGAACAUUUGCUUCCUACUGUUCAACUUACAUAAACUUGGAAAUUACGUAUAUUACCGUUCAAAAAUUUGAGGUCAAUAAUGAACAUGUAAUAUAUUUAAUCUGCGCUGAACUUAAAACUGUUCCAUCUUAGAUUUCACAUCCUCAAGAGGUCACAACACCAGAGACGGUCCAGGAUUUGCCUCCUCUCUCAAGCAUCUUGUUGACCGUUCUCCUCAAAUCGCCCCCGGUCACAAGGACCUGAGCCCUAGGACCAUGCCUCAGGACUACCUGGCAUGAUGACUCCUUGCUGUCCCCAGUCCACCUGGCCGUGCUGCUGCUCCAGUUUCAACUGUUCUGCCUGCGGCUAUGGAACCCUGACCUGUUCACCGGACGUGCUACCUGUCCCAGACCUGCUGUUUUCAACUCUCUAGAGACAGCAGGAGCAGUAGAGAUACUCUUAAUGAUCGGCUAUGAAAAGCCAACUGACAUUUACUCCUGAGGUGCUGACUUGCUGCACCCUCAACAACUACUGUGAUUAUUAUUAUUUGACCAUGCUGGUCAUUUAUGAACAUCUUGGCCAUGUUCUGUUAUAAUCUCCACCCGCCACAGCCAGAAGAGGACUGGCCACCCCUCAUAGCCUGGUUCCUCUCUAGGUUUCUUCCUAGGUUUUGGCCUUUCUAGGGAGUUUUUCCUAGCCACCGUGCUUCUACACCUACAUUGCUUGCUGUUUGGGGUUUUAGGCUGGGUUUCUGUACAGCACUUUGAGAUAUCAGCUGAUGUAAGAAGGGCUAUAUAAAUACAUUUGAUUUGAUUUGUUAAGGUUGCUACAAUAUGCACUUGUUGUUUGAACAAUUUAUUGUUGGAAAUGUAGUGUGUAUGCUUUUAGUUACACUACCAUUCAAACGUUUGGGGUCACUUAGAAAUCUCCUUGUUUUUUAAGAAUUUUUUUUCCCCAUCCAUUUAAAAUAACAUCAAAUUCAUCAGAAGUACAGUGUAGACAUUGUUAAUGUUGUAAAAUACUAUUGUAGCUGGAAACUGCAGAUUUCUUUAUGGAAUACUGUGCCUUGCAAAAGUAUUCAUCACCCUUGGCAUUUUUCCUAUUUUGUUGCAUUACAACCUGUAAUUUAAAUGGAUUUCUAUUUGAAUUUCAUGUAAUGGACAUACACAAAAUAGUCCAAAUUGGUGAAGUGAAAUAACUUGUUUCAAAAAAAACUGAAAAGUGGUGCGUGCAUAUGUAUUCACCCCCUUUGCUAUUAAGCCCAUAAAUAUGAUCUGGUGCAACCAAUUACCUUCAGAAGUCACAUAAUUAGUUAAAUAAAGUCAACCUGUGUGCAAUCUAAGUGUCACAUGAUCUCAGUGUAUAUACACCUGUUCUGAAAGGCCCUGGAGUCUGCAACACCACUAAGCAAGGUGCACCACCAACCAAGCGGUACCAUGAAGACCAAGGAGCUCUCCUGACCCGUCUCUAGGCUCUACACCAGAAGUUAAUGGUUAUCUGUAGGAAUGUAUAUGGUGGAUGCAUUUUAAGCUUGGAAUGUACUGAGUGAAGGAAAGAUAAUCACAUGUUGGCAGACACUUAUAAAGAUGGAGAGAUGUGGAUUAGUGAGGAAGGAGGUCCAGGUCAGGUCAACCUUAAAAGGGAGAAGGAACAGUUUAUUGCCUAUAUCACUUAACUUCCUGCCUAGCAAUAAAGAUGUAAUGUUUCGAGAGGAGGAGACUCCACCCAAAUUGGGUAUAUAUGCUACCACUUGUGGAAAUAUGUUUUUGUCUGUUCAGCUGUUCAAACCUUUCGGUGAAUAAACUUGGUUGGAGCUUU